AUAAUAAAUAUUGUAGUUUGAAAAUUUAUUUUAAAUUUAAUUUACAUAUAAAUUUUAGUGUUAUAUUUACAUUAUUUUAAUAAUAUUUUAAUUUUAAAGUAGUAAUUAAUAUUAAAAAUUUAAGAAAUUAAGAUUUAGUAAUAUUUAAAUUAAUAACAAAUUUUGUGCCAGCAGUUGCGGUUAAACAGAAGUUAAAUUAAAUUUUUUUUUUAGUUAAUUAAUUAAUAAUUAUUUUAAAUUGGGAUAUAUAAGUAUAAAUAUUAAUUAAAUAAUAAAUUAUUAGGUGAAAUUUUAAUUUAUUUAAAUUUUAUAUAGUUUUAUGAUUUAAUAAAAUUUAUUAAAAAACUAGGAUUAGAUACCCUAUUAUAAAAACUUAAAUUUAAAUACUAAAAUAGUAGAUAAUUAUUUAUUGAAAUUUAAAUAAAUUGGCGGUAUUUUAGUUUAUUUAGAGGAAUCUGUUUAAUAAUUGAUAGUCCACGAAUAAAUUUACUUAAUUAAAAAUUUUGUAUAUCGUUGUUAAAAAAAUAUUUUAUAAUAAUAAUAAUAUUUAAAUUUUUAAAAUUAAAAUUAAAUCAGAUCAAGAUGCAGAUUAUAAUUAAGAAUAUAAUGGAUUACAAUAAAUUUAUUUAAAUGAAUAUUAAAUUUGAAAUAAUUAAUUGAAAUUGGAUUUAAAUGUAAUUUUAUUUAAUUUAAUGAAAUGAUUUAAAUUAAAUUAUGUACAUAUUGCCCGUCGCUUUCAUAUAUUAAUAAAUAUUUUUAAAUAGCAUAGUAUAUAUAUAUAUAUAUAUAUGUAUAUAUGUAUAAUAUAAAAAAAAUAUAUUAUUAUUAUUAUUAAUAUAUAUAUAAAUUGAAAUAAGUCGUAACAAAGUAGGGGUACUGGAAAGUGUUUCUAGAAAGA
rnacentral:ncRNA from 1 species